GUGAACUACCGCUGAGCUGAAGACGCAGCGGCUUCUUCGGAAGUCACUGAAAACUUGGUUCUGUAGCUUCUUCGGAAGUCUGAGUUCACCAGACUCAGCCCCAGAAAUGGGCGCUACGUUCGAAUAGGUCAUGACACCUGCGGUUGACGCAUCAGGCCGCUGCUCUGUCGCUGAGAGUUAAGUAGGCUUGAGGGAAGGGCCGGUGCUCUCAGCAGAAAAAGCCUUUUGAACCUUGUCGAGAUGAAGUCGAAUUCCCUUCGUGGUUAUAGCGAA
rnacentral:sRNA from 1 species